rnacentral:lncRNA from 1 species
ACAUUUAUACACGUACAUACGUAUGUACGUAUGCUCGUUAUACAUAGAAGCGCUUUUCAUACUCAUAUUCAACAUCUGGCCACACUACAUCACAUGCAUUGUUUAUAUUGUUGACAUUUGCAAUGCUUGGACAGCUGGCAGGCAAUUUUUCAGAGCGCACAUGUUUAUUUUUUAUUAUUAUUAUUAAAAAUAAAGUAAGCAACAAAACUAGAAAGCAGGCAGCGUAAACACAACAACAUUCAUAUUUAAAAUAAACAGAAAUAAAAAGAAAAAACAAUAGAACGUACCAAAUGGACCAAUGGAUGUGGGCAAGUCAGCAGUGAGGAUGCGCUGGUCCAAAAGGCCCCCGAGCGAAUUUUCAUUUUCACACCCAAUUUUAAUCAGCCAAGUGGAAACUUGUUCCAACCCCACUGCGGAUCAAAUAAAAACAACAACAACAACAAUACCCUUCGGCACAAACAAAAGCGCUUUUCCAGCAAGUGAGCGCUUUUUCCAAACAAUGUCAACAAAACUCGCUGCUGCUCAGUAGGAUGCGCAUGCAUUCGUCAACAAACAAAAUAAAGUCAACGGGAAAAGCACAGAAUGGAAAAGGUGAAAGAAGGAAAAGUCAAACACGUGCAAGGAAAGGGCUGCGCAUGCGUAGCAGAACACUUUUUAAAAGAGAAGGGUUGUUAACUUGAAAGGAAAAGGUGCUGCGAAAAAAAAAAA